rnacentral:antisense_RNA from 1 species
CUUGAACGACCCGAGCCACAGCGGCUCCUCGCGGUUCUGUCCGUACGUGGCGAGCAGGGCCUGUGCCUC